GCAAACAUUUUUUCUACAAUUUAUUCUCCAUCAGAUGCUUUAAAUUUGCAAGCUAACUUGGAUAAAUUUGUUACAUGGACUCACCAAAAUAGUUUAUCUCUAAAUAUAAACAAAUGUAAUGUUAUUACUUUUUCACGAAUCAAUAAUCCUAUUAGCUUUGAUUAUAAAAUUGAUAAUUGUUCCGUUACAAGAGCAACUUCUAUUGGAGAUUUAGGGAUUAUUAUUGAUUACGAUUUGUCUUUUACUACUCACAUUAAUACUAUUACUAAAAAAUCCUUUAAGAUGCUUGGCUUUAUCCACCGAAACACAGUUAAUUUUAAAAAUAUAAAUGCCUUGAAAACAUUAUUUUUUGCGCUUGUUAGAUCUCAUCUUNGUGUUACAAGUUAAAUAUUCGAUUUAUUUCAAAGAACUCGUACAAUAUGCGAAUAAGCGAGUUGAGCUUUAUAUCUUGUAAAGUAAGAAGAGAGGUUGCUGAUAUUAUGUUUAUAUGUGAUUUGUUAAAUGGUCACAUUUUUUCCCCGGAUUUGCUCUCUAUGAUUGAAUUUAAUACAACAAAUCACCGUUUAAGAAAAUCAAACUUAUUUCAUGUUCCAUUUUAUAAUAAUAACUACAGCUCCUCUUCUUACUUUCCUCGAGCAUUAAAACUAGC